CAUGAGUGGCGGACGGGUGAGUAACGCGUGGGCAACCUGCCCCGUACAGGGGGACAACACUUAGAAAUAGGUGCUAAUACCGCAUAACGGGGGGAGCCGCAUGGCACCCCCCUGAAAACUCCGGUGGUACAGGAUGGGCCCGCGUCUGAUUAGCUGGUUGGCAGGGUAACGGCCUACCAAGGCGACGAUCAGUAGCCGGCCUGAGAGGGCGGACGGCCACACUGGGACUGAGACACGGCCCAGACUCCUACGGGAGGCAGCAG
rnacentral:rRNA from 1 species